rnacentral:rRNA from 1 species
UACGAAGGGGACUAGCGUUGUUCGGAAUUAUUGGGCGUAAAGCGCGCGUAGGCGGCUUUGCUAGUCAGGGGUGAAAUCCCGGGGCUCAACCUCGGAACUGCCUUUGAUACUGCAAGUCUCGAGUCCGAUAGAGGUGGGUGGAAUUCCUAGUGUAGAGGUGAAAUUCGUAGAUAUUAGGAAGAACACCGGUGGCGAAGGCGGCCCACUGGAUCGGUACUGACGCUGAGGUGCGAAAGCGUGGGGAGCAAACAGG